AUACGGAGGAUGCAAGCGUUAUCCGGAUUUAUUGGGUUUAAAGGGUGCGUAGGCUGUCUGUCAAGUCAGGGGUGAAAUGCCACAGCUUAACUGUGGAACUGCCUUUGAUACUGGCAGGCUGGAAUACGGAUGCCGUGGGAGGAAUGAGUAGUGUAGCGGUGAAAUGCAUAGAUAUUACUCAGAACACCGAUUGCGAAGGCAUCGCACGAAUCCGUCAUUGACGCUGAGGCACGAAAGCGUGGGGAUCAAACAGGAUUAGAUACCCUGGUAGUCCACGCAGUAAACGAUGAUAACUAACCGUCGGCGAUACAAUGUCGGUGGCCAAGCGAAAGCGAUAAGUUAUCCACCUGGGGAGUACGUUCGCAAGAAUGAAACUCAAAGGAAUUGACGGGG
rnacentral:rRNA from 1 species